CUGAGCCACUGAUGGGGGCAGAAUUUGGACAUAGCCUAAGACUGGUGUGUGAAACCACUAUAUACAUACCACAGGACUACCAUACCAUAGAAUCACUCUGGAGAGAUGAUCCUUGGCUUGCUUACAUGAACGUGAUGAGGAAGCCGAGGCACUGAGAGGAGAAGUAACAAGCUCAAGGUCUCAAGCACUGGGCUGGUGCUGUGGAUAUGCAGAUGAACAAGAUGGGAUUUCUGCCCUCCUGUUGUUCGAAGUCUAAUGAAGAAGGUGUUUUUACAAGAGGCACACGAAAGAGAGACACAGAGAAGAUGAGAAGACUGAGGCAGAUAUCGGAGUGAUGCAACCAGGAGCCAAGGAAUGCCUGGAUCCACGGGAAGCAGAAGAGAAAAAAAGGCUCAGCACUGUGAAGACUGAUUACCACCUCCCCCUUCCCCAGCAAUCUCGUGGAGAUCUGGUCAGAGGAGCUGUUCCAUCUCCCACAAACCUGGUGGCUCAGAAGCAGAGGUGGAGGCUGCAGACCUCAUGUCAGGACUGGGUGCACUAAAACAAAAACAGUCCCCCUAGUCUGGAUGCCCUGUGUGCCUUGCAAUUGAGAAAAUGUGAAUGAAACCAUGGAAUACUAUGCAGCCAUAAAAAGGAAUGAAAUUAUGUCUUUUGGAGGAACAUGAAUGGAGCUGGAAGCCAUUAUUCUCAGCAAACUAACACAGGAACAGAAAACCAAACACCACAUGUUCUCACUUAUAAGUGGGAGCUGAAGAAUGAGAACCCAUGGACACAGGGAGGGGAAGAACACACAGGGGCCUAUCAGGGGGUGUGGCGGGGGGAGGGAGAACAUCGGAAAAAUAGCUAAUGCAUGCUUGGCCUAAGUUCUAAGUGAUGGGUUGAUAGGUGUAGCAAACCACCACGGCACACGUUUACCUAUGUAACAAACCUGCACGUCUUGCACAUGUA